rnacentral:rRNA from 1 species
GAUGAACGCUAGCUACAGGCUUAACACAUGCAAGCCGAGGGGCAGCAUGAACUUAGCUUGCUAAGUUUGAUGGCGACCGGCGCACGGGUGAGUAACACGUAUCCAACCUGCCGAUGACUCGGGGAUAGCCUUUCGAAAGAAAGAUUAAUACCCGAUGGCAUAGUUCUUCCGCAUGGUAGAACUAUUAAAGAAUUUCGGUCAUCGAUGGGGAUGCGUUCCAUUAGGUUGUUGGCGGGGUAACGGCCCACCAAGCCUUCGAUGGAUAGGGGUUCUGAGAGGAAGGUCCCCCACAUUGGAACUGAGACACGGUCCAAACUCCUACGGGAGGCAGCAGUGAGGAAUAUUGGUCAAUGGACGAGAGUCUGAACCAGCCAAGUAGCGUGAAGGAUGACUGCCCUAUGGGUUGUAAACUUCUUUUAUACGGGAAUAAAGUGAGGCACGUGUGCCUUUUUGUAUGUACCGUAUGAAUAAGGAUCGGCUAACUCCGUG